UACGUAGGGUGCGAGCGUUAAUCGGAAUUACUGGGCGUAAAGCGUGCGCAGGCGGUUCGUCGUGUCCGAUGUGAAAGCCCCGGGCUCAACCUGGGAAUGGCAUUGGAAACUGGCGGACUCGAGUGUGGCAGAGGGGGGUGGAAUUCCGCGUGUAGCAGUGAAAUGCGUAGAGAUGCGGAGGGACACCGAUGGCGAAGGCAGCCCCCUGGGCUAACACUGACGCUCAGGCACGAAAGCGUGGGGAGCAAACGGG
rnacentral:rRNA from 1 species